AAAAAUUCAAACAAGACUGGAAGAACUUUGGUGUGACUCUUAUGUGCGAUUCUUGGACUGGUCCUACAGGAAUGAGCAUCAUAAACUUCAUGGUGUAUUGUAAUGCACGAAUGUUCUUCCUCAAUACCAUUGAUGCAUCCGGACAAACUCAGAAUUCAGACUUUAUCUAUAGAGAGAUUGAAAAGGUUGUCGAAGAGAUAGGGCAUGAGCAUAUAGUUCAAAUAGUAACCGAUAAUGGAUCCAAUUAUAAGAAAGCUUGCAAAACCCUUAUAGAAGAACCAAAAUACUCUCAUAUUGUUUGGCAACCAUGUGCGGCCCAUACCGUCAAUCUUAUGCUAAAAGAUAUAGCAAAAUUUCCUGAGGUUGAUGUGAUAGUCAAGAGUGCCAAGACAAUCUGUAGGUUCAUGCAUAAGCACAAUAACCUCCAUGAUAACAUGAAGAAGAACAUAGGUGGUGAACUAAUUAGACCAAAUGCCACCCGUUUUGGGACUGUCUUCAUGUUCCUUGAGAGUUACCAUUCAAAGAAAGAUAAAUUUAGGGAGUGGAUGGUUUCAAAGGAUUGGAAGGAGUGUCAGUGGAGGUAUGAGCCUGGGUAUGUGUUUGCUGAAGAGUGUUUGUCUAGUAAUGUUUGGUGGAACGCACUAGAGUGGGUAUUGAGUUCAUUGAGGCCACUUUAUACGGCCAUGAGGUAUGCUGAUACACAAAAACAAUGCACACUUUCUGGCUUCAAAAAAAGCAUGAUGCUUGCUAUACAAAGGAUGGAAGCCCAUCUUGGCCCUACAUCAAGGUUGUACCUUUCGUUCAUGCGCAAGGUGGGCAAGAGGAUAGAUGCAAUGGAAGAAGAUACAUUUAUGGUUGCAGCUGCUGUCCUUGACCCAUAUACACAUUACAAGCUGAACCUUUGCAACCACACAGAUUAUGCCACUUCACUAACAGAUGCGAUAGCGAAGAUAUUAGACCCAGUGAGUGCUCUUUCAGCCAUUGAUGAAGUGAGCAAGUUCAGGGAGUGCCAAGGGAGGUUUGGGACCAGAUUGGCAGAAGAAGCUGCGGCGAGAAUGGGGCCAAGUAAGUUA
rnacentral:rRNA from 1 species